UAGCUAACGCAUUAAGUGCCCCGCCUGGGGAGUACGGCCGCAAGGCUAAAACUCAAAGGAAUUGACGGGGGCCCGCACAAGCGGCGGAGCAUGCGGAUUAAUUCGAUGCAACGCGAAGAACCUUACCAAGGCUUGACAUGAACCGGAAAGACCUGGAAACAGGUGCCCCGCUUGCGGUCGGUUUACAGGUGGUGCAUGGUUGUCGUCAGCUCGUGUCGUGAGAUGUUGGGUUAAGUCCCGCAACGAGCGCAACCCUCGUUCUAUGUUGCCAGCGCGUUAUGGCGGGGACUCAUAGGAGACUGCCGGGGUCAACUCGGAGGAAGGUGGGGACGACGUCAAAUCAUCAUGCCCCUUAUGUCUUGGGCUUCACGCAUGCUACAAUGGCCGGUACAAAGGGUUGCGAUACUGUGAGGUGGAGCUAAUCCCAAAAAGCCGGUCUCAGUUCGGAUUGGGGUCUGCAACUCGACCCCAUGAAGUCGGAGUCGCUAGUAAUCGCAGAUCAGCAACGCUGCGGUGAAUACGUUCCCGGGCCUUGUACACACCGCCCGUCAAGUCACGAAAGUUGGUAACACCCGAAGCCGGUGG
rnacentral:rRNA from 1 species